GAUGAAGAACGCAGCGAAAUGCGAUAAGUAAUGUGAAUUGCAGAAUUCAGUGAAUCAUCGAAUCUUUGAACGCAUAUUGCGCCCUCUGGCACUCCAGAGGGCAUGUCCGACCGAGCGCCACUGCCCGCGCUCGGGGUGACCCCUUUCCUCUUUCGAGGCGGGGGUCUCCCCGGUGUUGGGGCGUGCGCCGCGAUUGCCGCGGUGCUGCCCCGAAAUGCAGUGGCGGCCGCACCCCGCGGACCUCCUGGCGCAGUAGCUAAACAUUCUGUCGUCAAGCGAGUCCCGAGGAGGGCCUGCUCCCAAGAACCCCCUGAAUUCCAGCACUGGUUGGCCUCGGGUCGGACAAGAUUACCCGCUGAACUUAAGCAUAUCAAUAAGCGGAGGA
rnacentral:misc_RNA from 1 species